GAGUUUGAUCCUGGCUCAGAUUGAACGCUGGCGGCAUGCCUUACACAUGCAAGUCGAACGGUAACAGGUCUUCGGAUGGCUGACGAGUGGCGAACGGGUGAGUAAUACAUCGGAACGUGCCCGAUCGUGGGGGAUAACGGAGCGAAAGCUUUGCUAAUACCGCAUACGAUCUACGGAUGAAAGCAGGGGACCGCAAGGCCUUGCGCGGACGGAGCGGCCGAUGGCAGAUUAGGUAGUUGGUGGGAUAAAAGCUUACCAAGCCGACGAUCUGUAGCUGGUCUGAGAGGACGACCAGCCACACUGGGACUGAGACACGGCCCAGACUCCUACGGGAGGCAGCAGUGGGGAAUUUUGGACAAUGGGCGAAAGCCUGAUCCAGCCAUGCCGCGUGCAGGAUGAAGGCCUU
rnacentral:rRNA from 1 species